GAUGAACGCUGGCGGCGUGCCUAAUACAUGCAAGUCGAGCGAACAGACGAGGAGCUUGCUCCUCUGACGUUAGCGGCGGACGGGUGAGUAACACGUGGAUAACCUACCUAUAAGACUGGGAUAACUUCGGGAAACCGGAGCUAAUACCGGAUAAUAUAUUGAACCGCUGGGUUCAAUAGUGAAAGACGGUUUUCCUGUCACUAAUAGAUGGUUCCGCGCCGCAUUAGCUAGUUGGUAAGGUAACGGCUUACCAAGGCAACGAUGCGUAGCCGACCUGAGAGGGUGAUCGGCCACACUGGAACUGAGACACGGUCCAGACUCCUACGGGAGGCAGCAGUAGGGAAUCUUCCGCAAUGGGCGAAAGCCUGACGGAGCAACGCCGCGUGAGUGAUGAAGGUCUUCGGAUCGUAAAACUCUGUUAUUAGGGAAGAACAAAUGUGUAAGUAACUAUGCACGUCUUGACGGUACCUAAUCAGAAAGCCACGGCUAACUACGUG
rnacentral:rRNA from 1 species